AGGUGGAGGGAAAUGCAAGCGCAAACUGCUUUUCCUGUAGUGCAGUGAAUGCAAGCGCAUGCGUAGUACAUGUUUACAAAUGGGUAUGGAAAACCUCAUGACCCAUGUGCCUUUGGGGCGUGGUCAUGUCGCUUCAUAUCAGUCAAAGUAUUUUCGCAACUUGCUCUCCAGUCCCGCGAAAACGUCUAGCAAAGCAAACUGGCCUAGGUAGCUAUGGAUGUACCAAAAAUCAUUGUCCAUCUAAAAUAAUUUUCCACUUUAUUUUUGAAGAAAAUAAAAAAAUUCUGCCAAAAGUUAGACCAACAACUGACGAAGGAUUUACACCAGCGUAAGGGGCAGAAUAUUACCAGAAGUUUCCAAAAUUAAUGGAAGCGAGUGGCUGUGUGGUUGCGUUGAUGCUAGCAGGCUCUGCUUUCCGUGUGCUAUUCUGAACUGUUGACACUGGUCAAGGGCCGGCUACGCUGACUUGAAUUACCUGCCCAACAGCGAUCCAGGUCCGUCCAGAAUGAUAGCACAUGCUUUCAUCCGGAGAGGCUUAUUGAAGUGGUCUUCACAUCCCUUAUGUGACCGGCUCCACGCGCUACCAACUGAGCCUCGGGUCACAUCCUGUUUUUGCCAGAAUAAUGUCCCAGCGGGGUUGUUCAAAACGAUGUAAUUCAGUGGGUCGACGGGACCAGUCCAGACCGAUGUAAGCCAAGCAGCUUGUUGCUUUGUCCUACUCUUCCAUGUAGGCAGGCAGUUUAUUGGACCCCAGCGUCAUUCUGAACACAGUCCUCUGGUCCAGGAGAGGCGCUGACCCAGACCAUAAUGCCAUCCUGUCCAACCCGCCCAUUAAUGUCUCUAUCUAGUCACUUGGUUUUAACCUGAUCUUCAGCUCGCCCCCAAAAUCAGUUGUAGUGGUCGUUUGCAAUGAAACAGGGCUAUAGAAACAUUUUGAUAUGACCAAAUUCCAAAAGGAGUUGAAAGGGUUGAACACCAGCCCCGUUUAAGUUUUUGCCAUGCCUUCCAUUGCAGUGAUGUGCGUGUGAUGGCGUGGGGGUUUAUUAGUGGACCUCUCUUUCGAGGGAAGGUAAAAUGAGUCCAGUGUUACAUGGAUUUACUGGCAGUGAGAUGUUUUCUCUCUGGAUUCGAUUUUCUCUGGAACUGAUUGCUGGAUGACGUGAUGUGGUCAUAGAGCAGUCCUAGUAUGCUAGCCCAAGAUGAACUACCUGAACCAGGAGGAGGACCUGCUGUCGCUGGAACCCCUCACUUAAGAUGACAAUGGAGCAUUAACCGUUAAACUGUCAGAAUUAAGAGAAGCUAAUGUGUUUUACUGUACCUGAAAUUAUAUUUUGUUUUGUGAUUGUUACUGAAGUGGCAGCUAUUCAUGUUUUGAUUGUGAAUCUGUUGGGCUCAAAUUAACCAUACCAAACACUCAUUAAGUGUUUUGCUUUUGGUCAUUUACUUAUUGUAACUAUAGCAUUUAAACUCAGGUCAAGGACGAUGGUAACUGACAAGCUGUUACAGGUGUAAGAGUCGGCUUAGGGUGAGGUUUCUUUAUUGGCCAAUAUUUCGUUUUACACUUCAUAGUCACAGAUCAUGGCUCUACUGAAAUCCAAUAGUCGGCCAUUAUAGGGCCUGCCAUUUUAAAUUGUAACAAUAUAAUUCUAGACAGAUUUAAUUCAGUGAAUUUGUCAUGCACCAAUAAACAAUCCCCUGUCAAGCUGUAGAUUUGUACUAAUAAACAAUGUAUUUAUCAUUUUCUUGAAUGAACGCAUAGCUUAUUACUAAUUGAUUGUAACCAUGCUUGUUGCUUUGGCGGGUUUCUAGAAUUGUAUUCUCCAUUGUUUUAAAAUAUUCUAGUUUCCCUCACAUGAAAGUUUUGAUGAAAAGGACUGGUGUGUAUGUGUCAGGCUAUAGCAUUUACAGAGAACUUCUUAGAUGGAACUAGAGGCUAUACCCCAACAGUGCAAACACAAUGGCCAGGGAAGCAGGGAUUGGAUGUCUCCAGAAAACACAGUAUGACUAUACAAAAACAUGUUACAUGGUUUUCUUCAGCAAAGAGAACCAUUGCUACUCCUGUGCAUUUGUUUGGGAUUUCUGAACUAAGCACUGACAAUAAAUGGAAUGUUUUAAUGUUGCUGUAUUUUUUCUGUACAAUUUCUUUGAAGAACAGUUGUUUUUUCCCCCUGCAUAGAAAGCACAUUAUCUACAGUAUCAAUAACAACCACACUGGACACCCAUAAAUAGUUUAUUCCCCAUUUUAUUUAUUGAAAACCCAGCUGUCGUCAAACACCUGUCAUUAAACACCUUGUCCCGAUUGGACAGGUGGGGAAGGAGUGAAACGUAACCUGAAACUAGUAGCCAAAAAAA